UGAGUAAUGUCUGGGAAACUGCCUGAUGGAGGGGGAUAACUACUGGAGACGGUAGCUAAUACCGCAUAACGUCGCAAGACCAAAGAGGGGGACCUUCGGGCCUCUUGCCAUCAGAUGUGCCCAGAUGGGAUUAGCUAGUAGGUGGGGUAACGGCUCACCUAGGCGACGAUCCCUAGCUGGUCUGAGAGGAUGACCAGCCACACUGGAACUGAGACACGGUCCAGACUCCUACGGGAGGCAGCAGUGGGGAAUAUUGCACAAUGGGCGCAAGCCUGAUGCAGCCAUGCCGCGUGUAUGAAGAAGGCCUUCGGGUUGUAAAGUACUUUCAGCGGGGAGGAAGGUGUUGAGGUUAAUAACCUCAGCAAUUGACGUUACCCGCAGAAGAAGCACCGGCUAACUCCGUGCCAGCAGCCGCGGUAAUACGGAGGGUGCAAGCGUUAAUCGGAAUUACUGGGCGUAAAGCGCACGCAGGCGGUCUGUCAAGUCGGAUGUGAAAUCCCCGGG
rnacentral:rRNA from 1 species